rnacentral:rRNA from 1 species
GAUGAACGCUGGCGGCGUGCCUAAUACAUGCAAGUCGAGCGAACAGACGAGGAGCUUGCUCCUCUGACGUUAGCGGCGGACGGGUGAGUAACACGUGGAUAACCUACCUAUAAGACUGGGAUAACUUCGGGAAACCGGAGCUAAUACCGGAUAAUAUAUUGAACCGCAUGGUUCAAUAGUGAAAGACGGUUUUGCUGUCACUUAUAGAUGGAUCCGCGCCGCAUUAGCUAGUUGGUAAGGUAACGGCUUACCAAGGCGACGAUGCGUAGCCGACCUGAGAGGGUGAACGGCCAACUGGGACCUGAACACGGGCCAAACCCCCGAGGGGGGGACGAGGGGGGAAAUUUCCCCCAAGGGGGGAAACCUUGCGGGAGCACGGCGGGGGGGGUGAAAAAGGUCUUGGGAUCGUAAACCUUUUUUUUAGGGAAAAAAAAAAUUUGAAAGUAACUAUGCCCGUCUUGCGGGUACCAAACAAAAAAGCCCGGCCAACCUCCUG